ensembl:misc_RNA Y_RNA Y RNA
GGCAGGCCUGAUGGCGGUGAGUUAUCUCAGUUGAUUGUUCACAGUCAUUUACAAAUCAAAUUCCUCGUUCUACUCUUCUCCCACUUUCACCGCCUCAUUUCUUGCUUUUU